CUGACACUAAAGGACAAAAAGACCCUUUGAAGCUUUAUAGGGAUAAAACUCAGCUUACGUAAAUCCAUCUUGUUGCUUCUCCGCUUUAUUACAACAACUGUUGGUUGCUAAAGCCUUACAAGAUUUACAACAUCAAGACC
rnacentral:rRNA from 1 species